AGCGGCGAACGGGUGCGUAACGCGUGGGCAAUCUGUCUUCGAGAUGGGAAUAACCCAGCGAAAGCUGGGCUAAUACCCAAUAAGACCACGAAAAGCUAUUUUUGAGGUCAAAGAAUGCUCCCUUUGGGGGCAUUCGCUAGAAGAGGAGCCCGCGACCUAUCAGCUAGUUGGUGAGGUAACGGCUCACCAAGGCAAAGACGGGUAGCUGGUCUGAGAGGAUGACCAGCCACACGGGGACUGAGACACGGCCCCGACUCCUACGGGAGGCAGCAGUGGGGAAUAUUGGGCAAUGGGGGAAACCCUGACCCAGCGACGCCGCGUGGGUGAUGAAGGCCUUCGGGUCGUAAAGCCUUGUCAAGGGGAAAGAAUGCUUUUAAGGUAAAUAGCCUUAAGAAGUGACGGUACCUCUGAAGGAAGCACCGGCCAACUCCGUGCCAGCAGCCGCGGUAAGACGGAGGGUGCAAGCGUUGCUCGGAAUCAUUGGGCGUAAAGGGUGCGUAGGCGGUCUUUUAAGUCUGACGUGAAAGUCCAGGGCUCACCCUUGGAAGUGCGCCAGAAACUGGAAGACUAGAGUGCCGGAGGGGAGAGUGGAAUUCCUGGUGUAGCGGUGAAAUGCGUAGAUAUCAGGAGGAAUACNGGUGGCGAAAGCGACUCUCUGGACGGCAACUGACGCUGAGGCACGAAAGCGUGGGGAGCAAACAGGAUUAGAUACCCUGGUAGUCCACGCCGUAAACGAUGGACACUAGG
rnacentral:rRNA from 1 species